CAUGCCAUUUAGAGUUUUCUUAAGAGGUAAAGGCAAUGAUGAUAAAUAUUUUCUUUGUUAUAAUGACACUGUUGAGUAUGACAUUCCUUUUUUGUUAAGAAAACUCGUAAUAAAAAACCAAGGCAGAUUUAGAGAAGUGAACGAGAUACCACAUUGCAUGUACCGCGAAUAGUUAUCAUUUAUACGUUUCUAAAUUCACGUAAAUACUGCUAAAAUAGUUUUAUAUUGUAAGCUAUUAUUGGUAACGUUCAAACUGUUUUUACUGCCAGUACUUUGUGGGAUUUUUCGAGCGUCUUUCCAAGUUUCCUGUUAGUUGUCAUUCAAACAAACGUGUGAUGUGACCAGACACUGACUUAUCUAAUCAAUAUAUUGACGUAAAUUAAUUAAACGUUUAUUUAAAUGAUAAGGAAGUCGUUAACUGCAUGAUACAUGCAAAGAUACGACAACACUAGAAUUUUUUCUUGAACUUCACGCACCAUUUCACCGCGCUCAGGUGACAUAUAUACCGUAAAACGGGCUCUUAGGGUAUUAAGCUACUGAGGCUGGACUGAGGAACUUGAAAUUUAAUUUGGAUAAACCAAAGAGAAAAUGGACAAAAAAGAGCUUAGAGAGAGAAUGGGUUCGAAUCAUCAUUUUCAUCCUGAAAAGAAUCCCCAUAGUAGUAAGUUGCAGCACUGGUGGAACAUUCCGAAGGCAUCACAACCACUGCAGAUUGUCCGGCAUAGAUCUUCGACGUUGGAAGAUUCGUCAUCGUCUCCCGUCGGAUCGCCGGCAUCGUCCUUCGCCCAACAUGCAGUCGUCACCUGUCGGAUCGCCUUAACCAAGCAUCUGCAUUUACAUUUUAACUUCGAGAAACAACGCGCCAGAUCUUUCUCAGCAGACGACCACAAGGAUAGUGUGCUGACAUAGAAAAAAAUAUUGAAUUAUUAUAUUUGUCAAGGUAGCUAUAAAAACAAUUGAAAAAGUAACAUAUUAAAUGAAAGUAUUUGCUUUUAGUUAUUUCGGUUUACGCCAUGAAAUAUCUACAAGUAUGUCGAUGGAAGGUCAAUAUAUUCGACAUGCAUUCUUCUAUGACAUUAUCUUCUUUGUACCGGCCUUCUCCGGGUACAUAUUUACCUCAGCUCAUAGGGUGUCAUUUAAAACACAAUGUCAGUUUUGCUAGUUCUUAUAUGUUAUAUGUGUCAUUGUAUAUUUCUUCUGUACACUGUCCGCUGUUGUAUUUGUGCCUAUGUAUGUGAUUAUGGGCUUUUAACCUAUUUGAUUUGAUAUAAAAAUGUCUGUCUGUCUGUCUGUCUGUCAGACAUAUGUGUUCCGUAUCCGAACCAAAUGGAAACACUAUGUUUUUUACAAUGUGUUGGAUAUUAUGCUUAUAUGUAAUAAUAUUUAUAAAUUACUUUCUUUGUUUUUCUCAUAUUUUCCUCGCAGAUUUGUACCUGAAAUAAACACAUUUGCUUGCUCGAACCAUUAGAAAUCUUACCAUGGCACAGAAGUAAACUUCCGUGUAUUUAGCUUUACUGGAUUUUUCUCUUACAGUUUUAAUUCACCGAUUUAUAAAAUCCAUGCAGAAUUGAGAAGUAUUAUUGGUCUCUAUAUACGUAUUUAAAGGCUCAUAACGCCUUUCUUUAGGCUAUAACAUGGCUGCCGCAUUUGUGUUAUGAAUAUAAAAUAUAUUGAUUUCUUGUUAAAUCCUAUUUUCAAUGAUUGUUUUCUCUAUUAUUUGUCAAAAGUUUGAAUAAUGAUCAACAUAAUAGUAAGUUUUACAGAAUACAUUGUUUUUGAUUACCUCCCUUUACGGCUCAAACAGCAGUAAUGAAAGUAGUGCUUUCUAACCAUGUAAUUAUGCAUAAAAUCUAUUUGGACAGCUGCUUCCUCUGCGUUAAACAUAAAGUUUAAAGCCUUAUCGGGCUUUAACAACUGGUUUGCCUGUAACACGUCACCUUCAAGUUCAUUGACGAAUUGAACAGUACCUCAAAUUUGCUAAAAAGAUAGGACAAACAAAGGAACUUGAUACUUAUUUAAACAUGAUCGUAGAUACGUUUGAAACUUUUUUAAACUCCUAAGCUUAUACAAAAAUAUUCCCAAUUCUUAGUUUGAUACUUCAAUUUUACAUCAGUUACUAAAGUUAUGAUCCAGCUUGUUUUUUUUUCUCCACAUGCGGUCAUGACACAUACAAAAUGUAUAUGCAUUCUGCUGCAUUGUAAUUAUUAAGUACCCUGCUGCAUUUCUAAAAUGAACUUGUCCAUCUUUCAAUUUGGAAAGUAUCAUUAACUGUUAAAAGGGGUGCUUACCAAAAAUAUACUGAUUGAAUGGCGAACAGUGCAGAGCAUGAUCAGACUGCACGGAUGUGCAGGCUGAUCAUGAUCUACACUGGUCGCAAAGGCAGAAUAGGUGGUGUUCAGCAUGAUAAGGGUUAAGAAUGCACACAAUAACAUUUAAAAACGAGACGAUUUCUAUACGAAUAAGUACUGAAUAAAACUGACAUUUUUAGGAAUGUGACAUUUUUGACAUUACCUUUAUUCGUUGUGAUGACUCACAGAGUUAAUGCAUACUGAAGUUUUCAUAAAUUUUCUAACACAUAGAUCUAUAGUGAAUCCUGUUUCCGCCAUCA